UACGUAGGGUGCGAGCGUUGUCCGGAAUUAUUGGGCGUAAAGAGCUCGUAGGCGGUUUGUCGCGUCGGCCGUGAAAUCUCCACGCUUAACGUGGAGCGUGCGGUCGAUACGGGCAGACUUGAGUUCGGUAGGGGAGACUGGAAUUCCUGGUGUAGCGGUGAAAUGCGCAGAUAUCAGGAGGAACACCGGUGGCGAAGGCGGGUCUCUGGGCCGAUACUGACGCUGAGGAGCGUAAGCGUGGGGAGCGAACAGG
rnacentral:rRNA from 1 species